CAAGCCCUAUCGGUCGAUCUACCCCCAAGCAGUGCCGGACCCUGCCAUCAAGAUAAAUCCCAGGCCACAUACCAAAAAGAGAUUAUAUUUGUUGGUGCAAAAAUCCACCAACAUCGGAAAAAUUGGAGUUGUGGGGGUCGCGGUCGCCGCCGGGACCUGUAAAAGAAGUCUAAAUCGGAGGUGAGGUUGCUCCGGCAAGAUCCUCCGAUACUCAAGUCAGUUCUCUGCCUCAACAAGAAUGAAGUACUCGAACGAAAAUUUUAGCAGAGUUUCUAGAUAAAAAUGAAAGCUUAGAGAAUAACGUAUCUGGGGU
rnacentral:lncRNA from 1 species